rfam:Mycobacterium avium 2285 (S) gma2285S.contig.6, whole genome shotgun sequence.
GUGACGUUCGGGAUGAAGUGGUUGAUGCGGUCGCCCAUCAAGGCCCAGCUGCGUUUGCCGUCGCUGACGAUCUGGACACCGCGCCGUUUGAACCGCUU